UACAGCCAUAUCACAUUUAAACACCAAUUACCGUAUGAUCACCGAAGUUAAGCAAUGUUGAGUCUAGUCAGUGCCUAGAUGGGUGACCACUUGGGCAUACCAGCUGCCGUAA